rnacentral:rRNA from 1 species
CCUACGGGGGGCAGCAGUAGGGAAUAUUGCUCAAUGGGGGAAACCCUGAAGCAGCAACGCCGCGUGGAGGAUGAAGGUUUUCGGAUUGUAAACUCCUUUUGUUAGAGAAGAUAAUGACGGUAUCUAACGAAUAAGCACCGGCUAACUCCGUGCCAGCAGCCGCGGUAAUACGGAGGGUGCAAGCGUUACUCGGAAUCACUGGGCGUAAAGAGCGCGUAGGCGGGAUAGCAAGUCAGAUGUGAAAUCCUAUGGCUUAACCAUAGGACUGCAUUUGAAACUGUUAUUCUAGAGUAUGGGAGAGGUAAGUGGAAUUCUUGGUGUAGGGGUAAAAUGCGUAGAGAUCAAGAGGAAUACUCAUUGCGAAGGCGACCUGCUAGAACAUAACUGACGCUGAUGCGCGAAAGCGUGGGGAGCAAACAGGAUUAGAUACCCCGGUAGUC